CAGUUCACUACCAACGCUCACCCUCAUUUGAAGUUUGGUUUAACCUUGAAUUAUGGCAGGUAUACCCAAGUUAAAUGUGGAAAUUUUUGAUAUAUUUUUUUCUUGCGGUGCGACCUUCACAUUCAUGCUCUAACGAAUACCUAUCUUCAUAAGUAAGGUGAUUUAGUGUGGUAUGAAAUUAUUUCCACGUUUGCUUUUAGCAAUCGACUACUGACAUCGUUAACGCCUUCUUUUACGUUAAAUACGGUAAUUGAUGGAAUACCCGAAUAAAGAGUGGUAUCUAUAGGUAUUGUAUUUGUACUUAGUACAACAGCAGUAAUUAAAGCAAAUUUGGCAAAAUUUAUGAUUUUCCUGAAAAACAUUUUUCCUUCAAGCUUUCCAGCACUUCAAAAUUUAUUAGGAUUUUGCUGCAGUACGCACAAAGAAAUCUCCCAAAAAAUGAAAUUCAAUUUUGUGCUUUGGAAUGCGUCUAUGAGAAAAUGGGAAUUGUACGUGAAACGUGAAUUGCGUAAAAAAAAAAAAUAGAUAUCAACCAGGAUAUACCUAAUUACAAUAUUACCUAAAGCUCUGAUAUUAAAGAUAGUCAUUUUUUUUCUGUUCACUCCUUAUACUGAUUGUUUAUUUUUUUUAUUUAUUUAUUUUUUUUAUUUAUUUAUUUUUUCAAUACAGGUAAAGGAUGACAAACUUGUGUACGAAGAAAUUACGAAAGCGUUUCGAAUAAUGUUCGAGCAUGAUCAGACUUUGCUCAGAGAUGUCCUUAAAGUAUCUGAUUUAUGCAAAAAAGAAGUUGAGCGAGAUUAUGGCUCGAUUAAGGAAUGUGGCGUCCCUGAUGCGUUCCAUCAGUGUGUGAUGAGUAAAUGGUCGGUCCAAUCAACCAUGGAGUUGAAUAUGUAAACUCGAAUAAUUUUAUAUUUUAUCAAAUUAAUUUAGGCUCAGUGUAAGUGAUUAUUUCCUUUAUUGAAUUUUGUUUCAUUAUCAAUAAACUACUCGAAAAAAUUGUAAUA